GUUGAUCCUGCGGGAGGCUUCUGCUAUUGGAAUUCUGAUUAGGCAUGCAAGUUCUGGGGUUCUUCGGAACACCGGCGAAAGGCUUAGUAACACGUCGAUAAUCUGCCUUAUGGUUUAGGAUAGCCUUGGGAAACUGAGGGUAAACCUGAAUAGGAAAAGAAUACUGGAAGGUAUCUUUUCUGAAACUUCGGGCCAUAAGAUGAGUCGGCGGCUGAUUAGGCUGUUGGUGAGGUAAUGGCUCACCAAACCUUUGAUCAGUAGGGGGGAUGAGAGUCCUAGCCCCAAGAAGGGCACUGAGACACUGGCCCUAGCUCCAAGGAGCGCAGCAGCCAGGGAUUCUUUACAAUGCACGAAAGUGUGAUAGGGGGAUUCCAAGUGCUUUACCUCUGGUAAAGCUUUUGCCAAGUGUAAGGAGCUUGGCGAAUAAGUGGUGGGUAAGACUGGUGCCAGCCGCCGCGGUAACACCAGCGCCACGAGUGGAGACCAUUAUUAUUGGGCCUAAAGCGUCCGUAGCAGGUCUGAUAACUCUUUUGUGAAAUUGUCCAGCUUAACUGGACAGCGUGCAAGAGAAACUGUUAGACUUGAGACCAGUAGGAGAUAGGAGAAUGAUAGGGGGAACGGUAAAAUGUGAUAAUCCCUAUUAGACUACCUGUGGCGAAGGCGCCUAUCUAGAAUGGGUCUGACUGUGAGGGACGAAGGCUAGGAGAACGAUCAGGAUUAGAUACCCUAGUAGCCCUAGCUGUAAACGCUGUGAGUUGUGUGUUGCAUAUUCUUCAUGGAUAUGCAGUGCCGAAGGGAAGCCGUUAAACUCACCGCCUGGGAAGUACGGUCGCAAGGCUGAAACUUAAAGGAAUUGGCGGGGGCGCACCACAACGAGUGCGGCGUGCGGUUCAAUUGGAUGAUACACCGAAAUCUCACCAGCAGCGACGGCAGGGUGAAGGUCAGAUUGAAGGUUUUACCUAACGAGCCGAGAGAUAGUGCAUGGCCGUCGUCAGUUCGUGCCGCAAGGUGUCCUGUUAAGUCAGGCAACGAACAAGACCUAUGCUUACAUUUGCCAGCAUUUCCUUUUGGAAGAAUGGGCACAAUGUAAGGACUGCCUUGGAAACAAGGAGGAGGGUGUAGGCAACGAUAGGUCAGUAUGCUUCGAAUCUGCUGGGCUACACGCGCGCAACAAUGGUAAGGACAAUGGGAUACAACUCCGACAGGAGAAGUCAAACCUCUAAACCUUAUCCUAGUCCGGAUUGAGGAUUGAAACUCAUCCUCAUGACGAUGGAAUUCGUAGUAAUCGUUCUUCAUCAGAGAACGGUGAAUAGGUCCCUGUGCCUUGCACACACCGCCCAUCAAGCCAUCCGAGCAUAGUUUAGGUGAGGUGUACUUUAUUGAGUAUAUCGAACCUAGGCUAAGUGAGGCAGGUUAAGUUGUCACAAGGUA
rnacentral:rRNA from 1 species